rnacentral:rRNA from 1 species
UGCGCAAGUCAUUGGGACAUGCGAAGCCUAAAGGCGCAAUGAAAGUAAAGGUCCGCUCUCGGGCGGACCCAGGGAGGAUGGGGCACGUUACGGCGUGCCUCUGCACUCCCGGGGCGUCUCGUUCUCAUUGCGAGAUGAGGCGCACCUAGAGCGUACACGCUGGGACCCGAAAGAUGGUGAACUAUGCCUGGUCAGGACGAAGUCAGGGGAAACCCUGAUGGAGGUCCGUAGCGAUUCUGACGUGCAAAUCGAUCGUCGGAACUGGGUAUAGGGGCGAAAGACUAAUCGAACCAUCUAGUAGCUCGUUCCUUU